AACAUGCAAACUCCACACAGAAAGGCCCUCGCUGGCCACGGGGCUCGAACCCGGACCUUCUUGCUGUGAGGCGAGAUAAAAAAUAUCUCGCCUGUAUAAAAAAUAAAUAAAUAUUACAAAAAAAUUUAAAAAUCAACUGCAUUCGGUCCUCUCCAAAAUAAAAUAAAGCUCUGGGCAAGUGGAAUUGUGUUUUGGGCAGGUAUGUUUUGGGUGCUGCUUGCCAACUGGGCAAGUAAGGCUGGGAGAUUUUUUUUUUUUUUUCCCCAAGGACUGGAUAGCAUGGGGUUAUAUUUUAUAUCAAUGGCUUAUUCAGCCAAUUCUCUUAGAGUUUCUAAAUUAAUUUAAAGAUAUUGUGAAACUGCAAUACAUUCUAUUUACCACAUUAAUCCUCUGUAGCAAUUUUUGACUUUUGUUUUAUACACACGAAAAUGUAAAUUGCUUUGCGUUGUUUAUGAUUCAGAAAUUUUAAAAAGGAGUUUAUUCAGUCAUAAUUUUUCUUCAUUCAAAUUUUAUUGUAAAUAUUCUGAGAAUCUAAUGUAGGGUGAGGCUAUUGUACCUUUAUUAUAUAACUUUAAAUGAUUAGUUAAGGUACAGCAGUAUUCCUGAAGGUAAUUGUGUUCCUAAAAUCAUUUUUAAAGGUAAACUGCAUUCAGGUUACCAUGGAAAUAAAUACAAGCUAAAUGUGCAAUAGAUUGUAAGAGAUUAAUUUAGGGUAUAUUAAGCUGUGGAGAGUUUUGGAGAGAAUCAGCCCAGUGACAAGGGAGAAAAAAUCAUUUUGUCCUCUUUCCUAACAGAAAAAAAGCACACUGCAGUCCUGUAAAAUAGCAUGAAAGCUGUUUUUCAGUGGAAUGAUUCCACACCAUCACUGGAGUAUCACAGUUCACAUGCAGUUCCAGUACAUUAGACCUUUAGCAGAUGUUCUUAUCCAGAGAGACUUACAGCUUACCCUGAGGAGCAGUGAGGAGUUUGGUGCCUUGCUCAAGUUCAAGAAAAUAUAUUCAACACACCAAGGAUAUGAAUCUUAGAAUCAAGCUUCUGUUACAGAGCUAAGGGGUGCUAGGGUUAUUAAAUAUCCAUUUUCACCUUCUUCAUGACUAACUUACUUCCUCAGACUGUUUAUUUACAGAGAGUUCCUACUGUUGUGAAGAAAAGACAGAGACUUACAGCAAAACAGGAAAAGAAGAGUCCAGAGAAUAGUUUUUCCUGGGAAAAUAUUCACCACAGUUUCAUUUUCAGCCAUAAUUUGGGUUUUUCAGUCCACCAAUUUUCCUGCUGUCUGUCCUUCACUUCAGUUUGUGAAGAAUUCAGUGCUGGAAGAGAGUCGGCAUGUGUUGGGGGAGGGGGAGCUGAUGGGUGUGUUAUGGAAGGCCAAAAAGGUCAAAAGGGUCUUAAACAUUGUAACAAGAAAUAAUUCAUCAUCAAUUUAAAGCAUAUAUGCAGAACCAUGGCUCCCAGUCAAAUCACGUAUCUCAUACAAAAUUCUGCUCCUCACCUACAAAUCCCCCUCUCUGACCUUCUCCACCCCCACUCCCAGUCUAGGUCCCUGCGGUCCUCUGCCAAGGACCAGCUCUCCAUCCCCCGUACCAGGCUGCGGACCAUAGGGGACAGCCUUUUGUGUAGCUGCCCCCACUCUCUGGAACAGUCUACCACUCCACAUACGCCAUGCCCCCACACUGAUGUCUUUCAAAAACGCAUGUUUACUGAGGCCUUUGGUCUCUAACUGACCCCCCCCCCUCCCCCAUUUCCUCCUGUAAAGCGACCUUGGGUACCUUGAAAGGCGCUAUACAAAACUAAGUUAUUAUUUAUUAUUAUUAUUAUUAUUAUUAUUAAUGCGCGGCUCACCCGUUGGUAUCUGGCACUCCAGCCCUUUAACUUCAAGGUGAGCCACAGGCCGGGGGUGCAGAUGGUCGUGGCGGACUUCCUCUCCCGUCAAGGGGGGGGGGAGUCAGCUGCAGGCCAGACGGCUCCCCAGCCUGAGUCGGGCGGUGGGGGUAUGUGGCAGCAGGGGCGUGGUCAAGCGUUGGUCUGUGACCAGAGGGCGGAGUCAGGGAAGGUAAGUGGCAGAAUCACUGCACAUGUCAGUUAACCUGUGUUUGUGUGUCUUCCCCAGUGACCGUGCCCUAUAUAACGAGAGAGAGAGCAGAGGAAGGGAGCUCUCUCCCCAACCAGACGACUGAUGUGUGCGUGCGUGUCUGUGUGACUGGGAAGAGUGAAAAAGCUGAAAAUAACGAGUUUUUUUGAAACUCAGUUCUGGCCUGCCGUACUUCUGUGCUCCACCCACCCGCUCAAAGUCCUACACUUACUUUCACCAUAAAUUUUUAUUUAUAUGACUGGUCUAUAGCUGUCAAAGGCCUCGGCCUUAAAACCGGCUACCACUGUGAUGCCACGCACUCAGGGCUGACUGGCUCAGCGGGGCAGCUCGAAUGGCAACUUUGCGGUCGAUUUUUAACUUUCAAAAAUAUAUUUUUUUAAAUUCCCAUUUAUGCAGCAUACAAGAGUCGAGGAUGGAGAUACUAUCCACUCAAAUUUAUUUAAAAAUAAAGGUUCUGCGUAUCUUCUUUAAAGAAAUCACUUCAAAUGUAUUACUUUUAAAAAACAUAAGAAAUUUUGUGUAUCAGAAAGGUUUUCCUCCAAAACGGAAGCCAUAUUAAGUUUUGCACAACAGCUGGAAUAACAUUGCCAUUUUAUUCAAAUUCACAUGUUUUUGGUUGUCACUUUGAGGUGUAAUUAAUGGAUAUUUUCAGAUGCUGAGAAUAAGUCCAGAUAAACUUAUACUGGAAUGAAGGGAUUCUGUAAAUGUGGAUUUAAGAAGGAAGUUCAACACUGGACUGGACUCCUGUCUCGAUCCUGAUGUUUGUCCAUCCUCAGCUAAACGUUACAUCACAUGUGGGUAACACGCCAAUUUCACUUCACUCUGUAUUUAUAACCAGAAAUAUCAUGCUUGCAAAUAUUGAAUAAAAAACUUUAUGGACUGAA